rnacentral:rRNA from 1 species
GUGAAGCGGCAAAAGCUCCAAUUUGAAAUCUGGCACCUUUGGUGUCCGAAUUGUAAUUUGGAGAGGCAACUUCGGGUAGGACCCAGUCUAUGUUCCUUGGAACAGGACGUCAUAGAGGGUGAGAAUCCCGUUCAUGACUGGAUGUUCCUACUAGUACGUAGUGCCUUCUACGAGUCGAGUUGUUUGGGAAUGCAGCUCAAAAUGGGUGGUAAAUUUCAUCUAAAGCUAAAUAUUGGCGAGAGACCGAUAGCGCACAAGUAGAGUGAUCGAAAGAUGAAAAGCACUUUGAAAAUAGAGUCAAAAAGUACGUGAAAUUGUUGAAAGGGAAGCGCUUGAGACCAGACUCAGCCUUUGGUAAACAAGUGUCCUUCUGGGCAUUGCACUUGCCUCGGGUUGGGCCAGUAUCAGUUAGGAUGGUAGGAGAAAGGCCAGGGGAAUGUGACUCCAUUUUGGAGUGUUAUAGAUCCUGGUGUCAUGCUACCUGUCCUGACUGUGGACCGCGCAUUAGCUAGGAUACUGGC